UACAGAGGGGGCAAGCGUUGUUCGGAAUUACUGGGCGUAAAGGGCGCGUAGGCGGCCUUCUAAGUCGAACGUGAAAUCCCCGGGCUCAACCCGGGAACUGCGUCCGAUACUGGAAGGCUUGAAUCCGGGAGAGGGAUGCGGAAUUCCAGGUGUAGCGGUGAAAUGCGUAGAUAUCUGGAAGGAACACCGGUGGCGAAGGCGGCAUCCUGGACCGGCAUUGACGCGUGAGGAGCGAAAGCCAGGGGAGCAAAGCGGG
rnacentral:rRNA from 1 species